GGGUCAGUAGGUUGGUCGUGCCACCGGUACGUACUGGUCUCACUGAUUCCUCCUUCCUGAAGAACCGUAAUGCCAUUAAUUUGGUGUUGCGGGGAAACAGGACUGUUACUUUGAAAAAAUUGGAGUGUUUAAAGCAAGCUAACGCUUGAAUACAUUAGCAUGGAAUAAUGAAAUAGGACGAUCGAUCCUAUUUUGUUGGUUCCUAGGAUUGACGUA
rnacentral:rRNA from 1 species